UUCGGAGACACCGGUGACAGGUGGUGCAUGGUUGUCGUCAGCUCGUGUCGUGAGAUGUUGGGUUAAGUCCCGCAACGAGCGCAACCCUUGGCCUUAGUUGCCAGCAUUCAGUUGGGCACUCUAAGGCGACUGCCGGUGACAAACCGGAGGAAGGUGGGGAUGACGUCAAAUCAUCAUGCCCCUUAUGCCCUGGGCUACACACGUGCUACAAUGGGCGGUACAAAGGGUUGCGAACCCGCGAGGGGGAGCUAAUCCCAAAAAGCCGCUCUCAGUUCGGAUUGCAGGCUGCAACUCGCCUGCAUGAAGCCGGAAUCGCUAGUAAUCGCGGAUCAGCAUGCCGCGGUGAAUACGUUCCCGGGCCUUGUCACACCGCCCGUCACACCACGAGAGUCUGUAACACCCGAAGUCGGUGAGGU
rnacentral:rRNA from 1 species